rnacentral:rRNA from 1 species
AUUUUGAAAUUUAUUAAUAAUGUUAUAUUUACUUGAUUGAAAAAAAAAGUUUUAUUUUAGUAUUAUUAUGAACAAAAAUAUUUAAUUAUAGAUAAUUAGUACUGUGGGGGAAAAUUUAAAAUUUUUUUAAGAAAAAUUUAUUUUUUGUACCUUGUGUCUCAGGGUUUAUUAAAAUAUUUUUGUAUAAAAAUUUCUCGAACUUAAAGGAGCUAUUAGUAAUUUUUUAAUUGUAGAAAAAAUUUUAUGAAAUUAUUAAUUGAUGUGAAAUAUAAUUCGACUUUAAUUAUAUCUAGUUUUUUUAGAAUAAAAUUUAAUUUGUUUAGUUUAAAUAAUUUUUAAUUUUUUAUUAAUUGUUAUUACUAGCUUAAAUAUUUAGGGAUAAUCUUUAAUAUUUAUAUUUAUAAAAUAAUUAUAAAAUUUUUGUCUGUAGGAUUAUAAUUGUCUAUUGUUAAGAAAAUGUUAUAAUUUGCAAGUUUUAAGAAUUGAUUUAUAUAUUUUUUAGAUUUUUUAUAAAAUUUAAUAUUUUAAUUAUGAAUAUAUUGUAAUAAUGAUAGAAUUAGUAUAAAUUUAUUUAAAUUUAAUAAAAUUGUUAGGUUAAUAGAAGGAAUUCGGCAAAAUAAUUUUCACCUGUUUAUUAAAAACAUGUCUUUUUGAUAAUUAUUUAAGGUCCGGCCUGCCCAAUGAUUAUUUUAAUGGCCGCGGUAUUUUGACCGUGCAAAGGUAGCAUAAUCAUUAGUUUUUUAAUUGAAAGCUUGAAUGAAUGGUUUGAUGAAAAAUUAACUGUCUCUUUUUAAAUUCUAUUAGAAUUUUAUUUUUAUGUGAGAAAGCUUAAAUUUUUAUAAAAGACGAGAAGACCCUAUAGAGUUUUAUUUGAAAAAAAUUAAUAAUUUUUAGAAUUUAUAUUUAUUAUUUUUUUAGAAUUUGGUUGGGGUGACUGUAAAAUUUAUUAAACUUUUAUUUUUUAAUUCAUUAAUUAAUGUAUAUUUGAUCCUGAUUUAUGAUUAAAAGAAUAAAUUACCUUAGGGAUAACAGCGUAAUUUUACUGGAGAGUUCAAAUUGAUAGUAAAGAUUGCGACCUCGAUGUUGGAUUAAAAUUUAUAGUUGGUGUAGAAGCUGAUUUAUUAGGUCUGUUCGACCUUUAAAAUUUUACAUGAUCUGAGUUUAGACCGGCGUGAGCCAGGUUGGUUUCUAUCUUUAUAAUAAGAUAAUAUUCUAGUACGAAAGGACCGUAUAUUAGAUUUAUAAUUUUAAUUUUUGAAUAUAAU